ACCUUGGAGAACUGAUGCCCUCUUUCAUUGAUGAUCUAUGGAGGACCAUGCAUCAAGCCGUAUCAGAUUAAUUGUUACAAACCAUCUGGAGCAGAAUCAGAAGAAGUCCUGGAAAUGAAGAACAGGAAAAGUUGGCUGCCGUGAAGUGAAGAACUAUGAAGUCUUAUUGAUAGCAAUUUUUUCUUAUGAUCUCCUGUAAUUAGGAUUUGAGUAACAAGAGUCAUCUUGUGAGAGUUUUAAGAAGUAGGAUUUGUAAGCAUAAAUAACUGCAAUUCCACUGCUAUUGCAAUUUAUUUGCUCAUCUUCGACAAACUUGUUCAUCAGUCUUU